AUUGAACGCUGGCGGCAUGCCUUACACAUGCAAGUCGAACGGUAACAGGUCUUCGGAUGCUGACGAGUGGCGAACGGGUGAGUAAUACAUCGGAACGUGCCUAGUAGUGGGGGAUAACUACUCGAAAGAGUGGCUAAUACCGCAUGAGAUCUACGGAUGAAAGCAGGGGAUCGCAAGACCUUGUGCUACUAGAGCGGCCGAUGGCAGAUUAGGUAGUUGGUGGGAUAAAAGCUUACCAAGCCGACGAUCUGUAGCUGGUCUGAGAGGACGAUCAGCCACACUGGGACUGAGACACGGCCCAGACUCCUACGGGAGGCAGCAGUGGGGAAUUUUGGACAAUGGGCGCAAGCCUGAUCCAGCAAUGCCGCGUGCAGGAUGAAGGCCUUCGGGUUGUAAACUGCUUUUGUACGGAACGAAAAGCUCUGGGUUAAUACCCUGGGGUCACGACGGUACCGUAAGAAUAAGCACCGGCUAACUACGUGCCAGCAGCCGCGGUAA
rnacentral:rRNA from 1 species